rnacentral:rRNA from 1 species
UACGUAGGGAGCGAGCGUUGACCGGAUUUAUUGGGCGUAAAGAGCUUGUAGGCGGUUCAGCAAGUCGGGUGUGAAAACUCUGGGCUCAACCCAGAGACGCCACCCGAUACUGCUGUGACUUGAGUCUGGUAGGGGAUCGCGGAAUUCCAGGUGUAGCGGUGAAAUGCACAGAUAUCUGGAGGAACACCAGCGGCGAAGGCGGCGAUCUGGGCCAGUACUGACGCUGAGAAGCGAAAGCGUGGGGAGCAAACAGG